GUAGUUAAUUAGUAACCAUUAUGAAUCCAACAGCAUCACUCUCUCUCUCUCUCUUAACUCCUCGUCACCUAACCCUUCCUCGAAACUCGAAACUCGAAACUCGAAACCGAACUCCUCUUAGCUCCCCUUCUCUCUAGCCUCCCACCAAAUUAAGCUUUCCUUCACUAGAUCAAUCGAUCCAUCAAUCGGGAGCAGAAAUGCACAAGCUCCGCGGAUCUAGCUCUCGCAAGUCAGAAUCUUCUGGGAAUAAGUGGUAUUCCAAGAGAGGGAAAGGUGGUAAUGAUAACGAGGCAACUCAGAGAGACGAGGAAACGCCAGAGGUGACCCGGUUUAUGUUUGCCGUUGUCACUACAACUGAAGGUAAAGCGGAUGUCCUCCAAGUACGUCGUGUGCCAAGGCCGAAACCCAAAGCGGACGAGAUGCUCGUAAAAGUGUCCAGCGCGGGGGUGAAUCGACCGGACAUCCACCAGAGGGAGACGAAGUUACCACCCUGGGAAGGAAGCAGCGACGGAGGAAGCAACAGAAGAAGCGACUACCUCGGACUCGAGUGUUCUGGAACCAUCAGUGAGUAUGGGGUGGGCAUGUCCGAAAAAGAUAUGAAAGCCUGGAAAAUAGGCGACAAGGUGUGUGCUAUUACCGACGGAGGAAGUUAUGCACAGUAUGUCGCUGUUCCAGUUGCACAAUUGCUUCCUUUUCCAUCUAAUAGUACUAGUGUAAAGGAGGCUGCCACAUUUCCUCAAGCUGCUUGUACUGUAUGGUCAGAGUUGUUUAUGGAGGAAAGGCUAUCUGAUGCGCUGCAGGAGUAUGAGAAAAAAGGGGCUCGUCUUUCUUCUGGUGAAACACUUUUGAUUCAUGGGGGGUCAAGUAGUAUUGGAACAUUUGCCAUUCAAAUGGCUAAACACCAGGGGGUGACUGUAUUUGUCACUGCAGGUAGUGAUGAAAAAUUAGAAGCUUGUAGGAAGCUUGGAGCUAGUGUAUGCAUCAAUUAUCGUAAAGAGGCCUUUGAGAAAAGGGUACUGAUGGAAACAGAAGGCAAAGGUGUGAAUGUUAUCUUGGAUUGCCGUGGGGAGGACUAUUUUCAGCAAAACUGUUCUUGCUUAAGUAGUUCUGGGGGUAGGCUGGUCACCAUUGGUCCUAAUUGUAAUACGUUUGGACAAGAUUCUCACAAGGAAAGUUUGGGGCGCCACAUUGUCAAUGCUUGUGCAUUGCGGAACAGAACUCCAGAAAUGAAAGCCUUAAUUGUUAAGAAGGUGCUGAAGCAUGUUUGGCCUGCAAUAAGGAAUGGCAGUGUGACAGCUUCCAAUAUCAAGACUUUCACCUUCAAGCAAGCAGCAGAGGCCCAUGCACUCAUGGAGUCUGGCAACUUUAUUGGAAGGAUUUUGCUUAUUCCAGGGACAUUACCAUGAUGGAACCAAAUGAAGCUAGAAUGUUAAAAUUAGUUAGAAAAAUUGCUCCUCUCUCUCGACCAAGUUCUUAAGCUCAGGACAGAUCCUCUUCUCUCACUUCGUCUUCAAUUUGAGCUCAGAACCUCCUCUACUCUCAACUCUCUCUGUGAAUUUUCGGAUUUGAAUGUGUAAACUUGUUGAUGGUUAUUAUAUGGUUCGUUGACUGAGGAAGGUCGAAGAAGGUCUCGCCAACCUUGUCGCUGGUGAAGGAAAGGACGGGGAGGGUGGCGGUUAGGGUUAGGGGUCGUCACCAGCUACUGGCUCACCCAGGUCCAGGUCGCCGGGGAUCGAAAUCCCGACGAGCAGUGGUCGGUUGUCGUUGCCAAGGCUGAGCCCAAGCUGGCUUCUGAUUCCGGGAAGCCUCAACGUCAUCGUGGAGUUUAAUAACUGGCGGAAGCAGCUUGAUUUGGCUGAGACCAUGGCGGUGAUUCGGGCCUUGGCGUCUGUUAUAAGGUCCAGUGAGGCCACCACUAUGAUGGAGCUCAAAAUUGAGCUCAUGAAGGCUUCUGAUUCCCUAAAGAUAUCUAUCUGAGCUACUCGGGGAGCGUCACAAGCUCGGUCCAUUCCUCCCUGUGCUACCGAAUUGCUGCAGUUUAUUGAAUCAAGGAACUUCAAAUUUAUGUGGUUUGUGUGAGAAGAUUGGAGUCACCUGUGAGUCCGGAGGAUGAAGCUAUUCAUCAUGGACACAGUAGCAGUUCUCCUCUGGCAGCAGGGGAAGAUGCACCCUUCCGAUGGGAUCAUGUUAGGGUCAAGUUGAGGAAGGAGGUAUUUGUUAUUGAAUAUGCAAACUUUAGUUGUGGAGUACAUUUUCUUCUUUGUUGUGAGGUGCGCUAAUUUUCUCAUUACACAUGCUUAAGCAGAUCGUUACUCUGGGCAGAUUGUUAAUUGGAUAAUUUUAAACUGACUUAAUGGACUUUGGCUCAUAGCCAACCCAAGUGUCUCUUGUUUUUUUUUUUUUUGAAAUCCCCAAGUGUAUUUUCUUUGUUCAUUUAAGAUUUGACAGGAUUCCCUUUCCUUGUGAUUCCUCCCUUUCCUAGCUUUAACAGAUACGAACUUCUGAAAAUGUUGAAAAGGUACAUUUAUUGCUAGGAUUUAGUAAUUGUAUGUUCA